rnacentral:rRNA from 1 species
CCUACGGGUGGCAGCAGUCGAGAAUCAUUCACAAUGGGGGAAACCCUGACGCUGCGACGCCGCGUGGGGGAAUGAAGGUCUUCGGAUUGUAAACCCCUGUCAUGUGGGAGCAAAUUAACAAGAUAGUACCACAAGAGGAAGAGACGGCUAACUCUGUGCCAGCAGCCGCGGUAAUACAGAGGGCGCAAGCGUUGUUCGGAUUCACUGGGCGUAAGGGGUGCGUAGGCUGUUUCGUAAGACGUGUGUGAAAGGCGGGGGCUCAACCCGCGGACGGCACAUGAUACUGCGAGACUUGAGUAAUGGAGAGGGAGCCGGAAUUCUCGGUGUAGCAGUGAAAUGCGUAGAUAUGGGGAGGAACACUCGUGGCGAAGGCGGGUUCCUGGACAUUAACUGACGCUGAGGCGCGAAGGCCAGGGGAGCGAAAGGGAUUAGAUACCCGUGUAGUC